rnacentral:tRNA from 1 species
GCUGGCUUAGCUCAAUGGUAGCGCAUUGGGAUAUAACCCCCAUGUGUGGAGGUUCAAGUCCUCCAGUCAGCUCCA